UUCCUCGGCGCGGCGGGGGGUCUCUGCCCGCUCCCCGGGGCUUCCUGCCGGUUUCCAGGGCGGCCUCACGGUCCUCGUGGCCGCGAGGGGUGGGGGAGCAAGAUGGCGGCCACGGGGGUGCUCGCCUCAGGGCCGGGGCCGGGGCGCAGCCGCCGCCGCCGCGCGGCCCCGGGCCGGUCAGGGGGCGGUUACCUGCUGUUGACGGUGUUUUCCUUCCCCGCUGCGCUCGCACAGGUCCCUUCAGCGCCGAGCCGUGGCCGCCGCAGCGCAGCGCGGGAGCGGUGAGCCGACCCCGGGGCGCGUGUGUGCCCCGCCGCCUCCGUCUGCGUUAAGGCGGUAGCGCGGGCUCGUCGCUGGGGCAGCUCCGCCGCCGCGGUGGGGAUCCGGCUCGCAGAAACCGCUGCGGCCGUCCCGGGGUUUCUGCCCGCGGCCUUUCCGAGCUCCAUACAUUCCUUUGCUCCUGGCUCCGGGACUGGGUGAUGAGGGACACUGGACACAGUGAUGGAUUACGACAUAUGAAGUUGAUGUGAUUUCCAGGAUUUGGGUGCCAUACUGGUCUGAUCAACGGACUGUGUAACGAAAACGGUGGCCUCCCUAUAAAGGAUUUAUGUAUAGGUAAUUCACAGUGACAGUCAGUUUUAAAAAAAUUCAGUUUGUGCUUUUUACUUUGUUGUAUAAAUAUUUAAGUGACAGUUGAGGGUUUCUAAGGGAGGGAAUUUCUGAGUUAUGCCUAACAGGUGAAGCUUUUAUCAAACAGAAACACAGCAAGCUCAUUCUAAAUGUUGGUUUUGACCUGAUAGCUAAUUAUUACUUAUUUGUCCUUUCGUUGGGUAUUUCUCUUCACUACCUUAACAGUCCUAUAUACAGUUUCUGGCAAUAGCCACAUACUCCUCAGCAGGUGGCUCCAUAUACAGCCAUCGGGCUUGAGUUGUCCAGCUGAUUAUCAAGCUGGCAGUGUAAUGACCAAGCUUGUCCGACUCCCACAGUGUCGGAGCACCUUGUGGCUGGCUCAGUGAAUCCAUCCUUGCAGUGCUCCUAAGAAAUGGUUGUGAAGUCUGGGAGACCCCCAGGAGAGUUUAUCAACUGGAAAAUCUUCUGGACUGAGCUCCUGUAGCAUCUGAGGUGAACAGCUAAUCCAGGUGCUAGAAUACAGGUAUGAAUUAAAAACUUUGGGUGGAAAGCUCUUAGUGGGGAGUGGUGUCAUAUGGAGCUGUUCACAAAAGAAUAUAUGUCUGCACCAGAGUAGUAGCCCUUCUACUUAAGGGCUUCCUUAGGGGAUUUAGUUGUCCUAAUACUUCUGCUCUGGUACAUGUGUCUUGCUCCUUUCAGAUGUUUUUUUUUUCCUAGUUGUAAAGAGGACUGUGGCUCUUGAUUUAGCAAAUAAAUAGAUGCUUCAGUGGGUAGAAGCUGGACCUUGAAUCAAGGCAUAAAUUUUUAAGCAAAUAAAAUGAAGCUCUAGAACACCUUGAGGUGUGGUGCUAUCAUCAGUAGGUCACACCUUGACAGAGGUUUAACCUCUUUUCUGUGGUACGGCCUUGCCAGUGUCAGCAGGGCUUUGCCUCCACACGCACUAUGCAUUGGCCGUGGUUGCCAGCAAACCUACCUUUGGCUGGCAGAUGCCAGCUGUUAGGCUCACUGCAAGGCACAGCAACUGAAAUUCUCUGACCUGCUUAAUGGGAGGUCUGACCAGAGGACUGUAACAGCCCUUUCUACCCAUGGAAACCUAUGAAUUCCUGGUAGGCUAAGAAGUGAUGCUGUCUUACAUAACUCUGUUUUUAAACUCUUCUUUUUUGAGCCUUAUAAAACAAGUCAAUAUGCAAGAGAAGAUAGUAGCAAUCACUGCCAAAAUAAUUGGGCAGAUUCAGAUCCUGUUUGCCUAGGUUUGUUAAAGCUUGAGGAAAUUUUCAGGGAGAUGUAUUUUUCUUCUGUUAAGGUAAUUUGGGGAAGAAUGGACAAUCUUAUGGCACAUAGUUUUACAUCAAAUCUCGUAAGUUUUAUCAGACUUUGUUUAUUUGUAGGGACCCUGUAAAUUGUAGUCUCUGUGUUCCUGACUGUCCCUUGGAAUGGAAAUUAGAACCAAUGAUUUUGUAAUGAAUGUGUAAUAAAUCUGUGGAAAAGCC